UUUUCGCAAGUCUCCAUGACACGGAUGAGAAAAUUCUAAGGGGGUGUAACAAGAGUUCCACGUUAGUAUAACAAAAAAGAUGGAAAAAAGGAAAUGGGAGAAGGAUGGCCAGGCAAUCGAAAUGUGCAGUUCUAGCAAAGGUCGCCAAUGUGACAUAAAUGUGUACUUCUAGCACAUUCCUGCAAACAGAGCAAACACAACAAAAUUAAUUGAAGAGUACAGCACCCUGAGAACCAGUAGAGUACAUAUGAUUCCGAAAUUGAAAACACUUCUCAAGUAUACCUACUUUAAUGGUAAGUAUGAUUGAAGACAGAUAAAUAAGUUUGCCAAUUGAUGCCAAAAUUCAGCUGUGCUUCGCUCUCCUCCAUUCAACAAAGUUGUCCAGGAUCAAGGGCCAAGCAAGUUCCGGAUCAUAAUUACGAAGGUCAGGGAAACUUAUCUGUGAUCCAAAUAAAAAAUAAAAAAUUAUAAAAUCAGGAUAUCUUCAUACCUUAUUGAAGGACUGGUGAACCAAAUAAAGUUAUAACUUGAGGAGGAAAAAGGAUAACAGUUUACCAUGAUGUUAUGACUGGAGAUCAAAACACAAUUAGAAUGGAUUGCUUCUACAGAUUAAAGGUCAUUUUUGGAAAGCUAAACUCCAAAUAAGGGGAUAGACAAAAAAAAAGGGGUUUUGCUUUUAGUAUGUGUUAGUUUGCCUGCUAUAUGCCAUAUGUUUUCAUUAUAAUACUGUUGCUUAUCUUCAGGUGCAUCAUGUGUGCCAGAGUAGCAGCCUAUGAUAAAGAACACAAACAUAAUGAAAUGUGAUCAAGAGAUUUUGGAAAAGUAAUUAGAUCAUUGAAUACCUCAUUGCAAAAUCGGAAAAAGCCCAUCCACUGGUCCAUGUUAAUGACUUUGUAAUCAUUCUGUGUCUGCAUCCAGGAAUAACAACAUUUUAAUAAGAUUUUUGUCUUUUGUAACUUCUUGCUCAUACUUGAAUGAAAUGGAAGUGAAGUUGAUGGUUCAAGAAAUAUAAAAUUUGCAUUUUAUAUAAAUUUUUUGUUCCCCUCUAUCAUAAGACUGAAACUCUCCAGGUUAACAAUCAUAAUGUGCUACAUCACAAGGUGCACGACCUCCUGUCUUUCCACCUAUGACCCCACUGGAACAAAGCCAGGGACCAUCGGAAAAAAAAUAGAAUUUAUUGGAGGGUAAACCCAAGCAGUUACACUCAAAUUGAAACAUUCCACAUAUAACACAACUACUGACCUUUAGAUACUCAACAAAUGAGUCAACCUGGGCUUGGAAUUGAGAUCCUAAAACAAGAUCAAGCAAUUCGCAGAUGCUUUCAAUGUCGAUACUCUUUUGUUUCUCCUCUGAGGGAAAAGACUAAGUUAUAAGCAGUACAAAUGAGGUAAAAGGCUAAGUUCUCCAAAUCAAGGCUACACAUGCAUCCAUAGACUUGUUAUACCUGUUAAGCAAUACUGAAAUGCAUAGGAAUAGAAGUCCACAAAAUUUGAUGGCCUCCUGACCUUUUUUAGUAGAAAAAGAAAAGGAGACAAAAAAAAAAAAAAAGAGGAAAUAUUAGUAUUUAUACAUCUCUCUCAUUAUGAGGCAUCCAACCACAAACUUAUCAUAUUCUCAGUUCAAAUAGGUAGCCACUUAGAAUCUCAUACCUCUUUCUCCAAUUCAGGGAGUGCUUUCUUCAAUUUGCUUACAGUGUCAGUUCGCAGAGCUUUGAGGCCUCUGCGCCACUCCUCCUAUUAAAGUUAAGAUUGGAGGUGCCAUUUCAGAAAGCAAAUAACCUUAAACAAGGGAAGAACAAGAAACAAGAAAUCCAAGGUGUCUUGAUAAGCUAUGCAAUAAAAUGUAGUUUCAGAAGCAUGAAGGAUUAGGAAGAUAGAGAAAAAUGAAGAGAAACUGAAAAAAAAAAAAAAAGAGAGAGAGUGUUUGUUCUGCAGGUAUCUUCUGCAAAAUCUUCUCUUUCUCACAAGCAACACAAGGAAGAAGCUCUCAACAAGAAAUAUAACCUAAACCAAACCCCAAUAAAUUCAAUUCAGCACAACCAAAACCUUUAAUCCCAACCAUUAGGGAUUGAUUAACAAAAAAUUAUCACCAUUUAUCUCUUUAAUCUUGGGUCAUCUCCUCCAUCAAUCAUACUCAAUCGUGUCUUUUCUCAUAAGCUCAGCUCAGAUUCCAUUUAGGCCUUUGCCUUGUAGCACAUUCAGUAGCAAAACCACAGGUCCAUCCCAUUGCUUCAUUGGUCUUCUUAAUACAGAGCAGACAGAUUGGUAUACAUUUAUGGCUUGAUAGCAUGCCUAGCAAAUGGCAGUAAAUCAUAAUAAUCACAUAGCAUGUCCAGUCAAAUCCCUACUGGGAUGGGUUAAAGGUUUUUGGUUGGGAUAAAAUAUUCAUACACAUCAGUUGCUGGGCAGUGUAGAGACCAGCGAUUAAGUCAGGUUCCAAUUUAGGUCAUUCCAUCCCAGCCCUGGCUCUACAAUCAAUGUCUAAGUUACAUGAACACUUUAAAGUGUGAGAAAUAUAUUUUAUACACAUGAUGCGACAAGGUUUUUGGUACAGGAUAUAUGCCCAGCAUUCCCACAAGUCAGAUUUGUUCUUCACAAAUGUGUUCAACAAAGAAAAAGAACAAAUUUCCAUCACAUUUGAAGUGAGUUUGUUUCUUGUUGGUUAUAUACUUCAAUCUGACCUACAAUAUACUUCAAUCUGCCAGCCAGGCCAAUGCCCAACACUUCUACCAGAGCCCAUGUGACAUGGCUCAACAUUACUGGUUGCUUUCUGGUCUUCCUGUAACCAAUGGUACACUACAAAUUAUGUGAAGUAAACAUCUCAACAUGACUUAACAAUGGCUUUGGCACAUAAUACGCAUUCGACAUGUCUACUAAUCACAUGUGAUUGCUGUUAAACAAAAUACAUGAGCUUAUGUACAUCAAUAUUUGUUACUGACAUAAACAUCCAUAAGUAAUGUCUUUGUAUACAGAACAUCCCUGGGUAAUUGCAUAAAUUUAUGGAUUACAUUCACAACACAGAAAUGCAAAGACAAAUACAAAAUAGAUUGAAAACAUAGAAAUAUAAGGAUAAUAAGUAGAUUGAUUGACCCAUAAGACAGUGAAAUGAACAUGAAUUGAAGGCAGAACAUCGCCACCAUUCACCAGUGAUUUUUCCCAAUAAGAGUAUUUCUGAGAUCUACUAAGUUUCAAGAAUUCUUCAAUAUCUAGAACAGAUUUCAACUACAAUAAGAACACCUCUUUCUUAGACUAAGCGACUUCAAAACCUAAAAUAUCACUUAAAAGUCCUAAGCUUAUAUUUGAAUUUUCUUUUCAAAGAUAAUCCUUGAGCCAAUGAAUUCUUGUGAUUCAUUUCCCAUCGCCUAAGUUCCAUGGGCAUGGAUAAAAACAUUUCUGCUGAGACUAAGUUUCUACAAGUCUGAUCCAUUUAAUAUUCAAAUUUUAACAUGGGCACACAACUCAAUAUUCAAAAAUAUGGGAAAGUGAAGCUUCUACUUAAUAUAACAUGUCAAAACAUGGAUGCUCUUUUAUUUUAUAUCCAUUUGUAACACAGAAUAUAAUUAUUAAAGUAUCCUUCUCCAGGGGAUGUACUAAUGCCUCUAUGGUCAGGGAUAAGAUGAGGCGAACUGGGAAAUUAUGAAUGCAUGAGUCUAAAUCUUAAGCUUUGAAGCAUCUAAGUGCAGGGAAUGAACAUCAACUGAAUGAAAUGGAGGACAAUUUUACAGUUGCUGGUUUUGCCAACCUUGUAGCUCCAUGAUACUUGUAACUACUUUCUUUUACUUUCAUCUGAUGUUAUAAAAUAGGUACUUCUUAAAUUUGCUAUUUUGCAUGGUCCAAGUGCAGGUAUCAGAUACAGAUAUGUGUCUAGUAUCUAAUCCUUCAGGCCUACAAAUUUUAAGGUAUGGGGACUCAACAAAAAAGAAUCACAAUAACAAGCACAAAAAGGAAAUUUACUUAGAAAUCAAUUAAAAGCAAAAAAUAUCAUCAAGAACUCCUCGUAUUUUCCCUUUUAUCCCUUUAUUCCUUAUCCCUAAAUACUCUUAUCAAAGCUCACUUUCUAGAAAACUUCUUCUUUUCCAAAGUAAUCUUCUACUAAGGAAGUUAAGGAUAAAAAUUGGGUUAAUUUCACUCACCUCCCCUCGGGUUUUGGCUAAAUACACUUGAACCCUCACUGGUUUCAAAUUUCAUCAAAUACCUCUUAUUUUGAGUAAGAGGAGAGAUGAGUGAAAAUAACAAAUGAAAAGAAUAAGGGAGGUGUUCGAUGAAAUCCCAAGCCAGUGGCAACUAGAUGUAUUUAGCCAAAACCUCAAAGGAGGUGAAUGAAAUUAACCCUAAAAAAUUCAAUCAACCAAAAUCAAGCAAAUAGCCAUAUUUAAAGCAAACUAAGAGUAUCGGAAAAAAACCAUGCACCCCUACCCAUAGUUGUUAACUCAUAAAACAUAUAUGUAUUGCUUUUUAAUUUUUGAUAUAGUGAAAAAUAAAUAUAAAAAAUCUGUACACGUGCAUAUAGUUUGGAAGUAUGAAGUAAAGAGUAAUGUAUAACUAAUUUCAUGAAAGAUAGUGAGAUCUAAA
rnacentral:lncRNA from 1 species